GGGUUGUGAGGUUAAGCGACUAAGCGUACACGGUGGAUGCCCUGGCAGUCAGAGGCGAUGAAGGACGUGCUAAUCUGCGAUAAGCGUCGGUAAGGUGAUAUGAACCGUUAUAACCGGCGAUUUCCGAAUGGGGAAACCCAGUGUGUUUCGACACACUAUCAUUAACUGAAUCCAUAGGUUAAUGAGGCGAACCGGGGGAACUGAAACAUCUAAGUACCCCGAGGAAAAGAAAUCAACCGAGAUUCCCCCAGUAGCGGCGAGCGAACGGGGAGCAGCCCAGAGCCUGAAUCAGUGUGUGUGUUAGUGGAAGCGUCUGGAAAGGCGCGCGAUACAGGGUGACAGCCCCGUACACAAAAAUGCACAUACUGUGAGCUCGAUGAGUAGGGCGGGACACGUGGUAUCCUGUCUGAAUAUGGGGGGACCAUCCUCCAAGGCUAAAUACUCCUGACUGACCGAUAGUGAACCAGUACCGUGAGGGAAAGGCGAAAAGAACCCCGGCGAGGGGAGUGAAAAAGAACCUGAAACCGUGUACGUACAAGCAGUGGGAGCACGCUUCGGCGUGUGACUGCGUACCUUUUGUAUAAUGGGUCAGCGACUUAUAUUCUGUAGCAAGGUUAACCGAAUAGGGGAGCCGAAGGGAAACCGAGUCUUAACUGGGCGUUAAGUUGCAGGGUAUAGACCCGAAACCCGGUGAUCUAGCCAUGGGCAGGUUGAAGGUUGGGUAACACUAACUGGAGGACCGAACCGACUAA
rnacentral:rRNA from 1 species